UACGUAGGGGGCAAGCGUUGUCCGGAGUUACUGGGCGUAAAGCGCACGCAGGCGGUCUCUUAAGUUUGGAGUGACAGUUGGUGGCUUAACUGCCAAAGUGCUUCGAAAACUGAGAGACUUGAGGGCUUCAGAGGGACACGGAAUUCCGGGUGGAGUGGUGAAAUGCGUAGAGAUCCGGAGGAACACCGAAGGCGAAGGCAGUGUCCUGGGGAGUACCUGACGCUCAGGUGCGAAAGCCAGGGGAGCGAACGGGG
rnacentral:rRNA from 1 species